rnacentral:rRNA from 1 species
UACGUAGGGUGCGAGCGUUAAUCGGAAUUAUUGGGCGUAAAGGGUGCGUAGGCGGCAGGGUAAGUUAGAUGUGAAAUACCGGGGCUUAACCUCGGAAUUGCAUUUAAGACUGCCUUGCUUGAGCAUUAGAGAGGAGACUGGAAUUUACGGUGUAGCAGUGAAAUGCGUAGAUAUCGUAAGGAAGACCAGUGGCGAAAGCGAGUCUCUGGCUAAAUGCUGACGCUGAGGCACGAAAGCUGGGGGAGCAAACGGG